AUUGAACGCUGGCGGCAGGCUUAGCACAUGCAAGUCGAGCGGAGAUGAGGUGCUUGCACCUUAUCUUAGCGGCGGACGGGUGAGUAAUGCUUAGGAAUCUGCCUAUUAGUGGGGGACAACAUUCCGAAAGGAAUGCUAAUACCGCAUACGCCCUACGGGGGAAAGCAGGGGAUCUUCGGACCUUGCGCUAAUAGAUGAGCCUAAGUCGGAUUAGCUAGUUGGUGGGGUAAAGGCCUACCAAGGCGACGAUCUGUAGCGGGUCUGAGAGGAUGAUCCGCCACACUGGGACUGAGACACGGCCCAGACUCCUACGGGAGGCAGCAGUGGGGAAUAUUGGACAAUGGGCGGAAGCCUGAUCCAGCCAUGCCGCGUGUGUGAAGAAGGCCUUUUGGUUGUAAAGCACUUUAAGCGAGGAGGAGGCUACUUAGAUUAAUACUCUAGGAUAGUGGACGUUACUCGCAGAAUAAGCACCGGCUAACUCUGUGCCAGCCGCCGCUGUAAUAC
rnacentral:rRNA from 1 species